UACAGAGGGGCAAGCGUUGUUCGGAAUUACUGGGCGUAAAGGGCGCGUAGGCGGCCUGCUAAGUCGAACGUGAAAUCCCCGAGCUUAACUUGGGAAGUGCUUUUGAAACUGCAGAGCUUGAAUGUGGGAGAGGAUCGUGGAAUUCCAGGUGUAGUGGUGAAAUACGUAGAUAUUGGGAAGAACACCUGAGGCGAAGGCGGGUUGCUGGGCUGACACUGACGCUGAGGAGCGAAAGCGUGGGGAGCGAACAGG
rnacentral:rRNA from 1 species